AUGGCGGCGAGGUACGCUAACCUCGGGGAGACGCUGGGCGACGCGGCGCUCGUCAAGAAGCUGCUGGAUACGAUGCCGGAUCGGCUCUUCCCCGUCGUCGCCGGCAUCAAGCAGUUGCACGACGUGACGACGAUGGAGUUCGACGAAGCGCUCGGGCGGCUGCGCGCGUUCGACGAGCUAGACUGGCGUCGACGGCAGGACAGCGGAGAGCGGGCGGACGGACAACUCCUGUUCACGGUGGCGCAGUGGCGGGCGCGGGAGCGGCAACACGGCGGAGCACGAGACGACGAGGACGGGCGCAGCGUGGCAUCGGGGAGCGGCGACAACAGGCGCAGGCACUGCUACAAGUGCGGGGAGAACAGACACUUCCGGCGCGAGUGCCCGCAACUGCGGAAAGGACCGGCGGUGGAGCAGGCUCUCUUGACCAGCGCCAACAUCGACGACGACGGACUCCUCUAG
rnacentral:rRNA from 1 species